rnacentral:rRNA from 1 species
UACGUAGGGUGCGAGCGUUGUCCGGAAUUAUUGGGCGUAAAGAGCUCGUAGGCGGUCUGUCGCGUCGGUCGUGAAAACUUGGGGCUUAACCCUGAGCUUGCGGUCGAUACGGGCAUGACUGGAGUUCGGUAGGGGAGACUGGAAUUCCUGGUGUAGCGGUGAAAUGCGCAGAUAUCAGGAGGAACACCGGUGGCGAAGGUGGGUCUCUGGGCCGAUACUGACGCUGAGGAGCGAAAGCGUGGGGAGCGAACAGG